rnacentral:rRNA from 1 species
UACGGGAGGGGGCUAGCGUUGUUCGGAAUUACUGGGCGUAAAGCGCACGUAGGCGGCUUUGUAAGUUAGAGGUGAAAGCCCGGAGCUCAACUCCGGAACUGCCUUUAAGACUGCAUCGCUUGAAUCAUGGAGAGGUCAGUGGAAUUCCGAGUGUAGAGGUGAAAUUCGUAGAUAUUCGGAAGAACACCAGUGGCGAAGGCGACUGACUGGACAUGUAUUGACGCUGAGGUGCGAAAGCGUGGGGAGCAAACAGG